AUAUGUUAUUACCACGAAUACUUUAAGUAUUCGUGGCUAUUAAGUUACCUAAUAAAUCCAUUCAUGUUAUUGUCUCCUUGAUUUGAUAAUUGACUAAAAUUAAAUAGAUUAACUUAGAUUAUUAACCUCUAAGCCUUGAAAGUAUUAAUCAGAAGAUUCUGAGGAGUGGCGGUAAGGUUCAUACCCUAAUCAACCGACUCUAGGCCUAGUCAGAUUUCAAGUUUGCGUACCUCUAACCAACAUUCGUCAAAUGCAUUGGAGUGUGGUCACAGAUCUCUCUAUUACGUAAUAAAUAAAUCCAGCGGUGAACAGAAGACUGAAGAAGGAACAUCACAGGUGCUGUUACUUAGACCUUUCUAUAGCAUUGAUGAAUAUUUGUCUUGGCAGCAACUAGAGUGACUACGUUACAAGUUAAAUCAUCUUUCUACUGCAACUACUCCAAUCAACAAAGAUUUUUAAUCGAUAACAUAUUGUAUUGAUGCCUUUUUCAAUCUUAAAAAUUGUAAAAUAAAGUACUCUUGUAUUCUUGUA